rnacentral:rRNA from 1 species
UGGGGAAUUUUGGACAAUGGGCGAAAGCCUGAUCCAGCAAUGCCGCGUGUGUGAAGAAGGCCUUCGGGUUGUAAAGCACUUUUGUCCGGAAAGAAAUCCUCUGGGUUAAUACCUCGGGGGGAUGACGGUACCGGAAGAAUAAGCACCGGCUAACUACGUGCCAGCAGCCGCGGUAAUACGUAGGGUGCAAGCGUUAAUCGGAAUUACUGGGCGUAAAGCGUGCGCAGGCGGUUUUGUAAGACGGAUGUGAAAUCCCCGGGGCUUAACCUGGGAACUGCAUUCGUGACUGCAAGGCUAGAGUAUGGCAGAGGGGGGUUAGAAUUCCACGUGUAGCAGUGAAAUGCGUAGAGAUGUGGAGGAAUACCGAUGGCGAAGGCAGCCCCCUGGGCCAAUACUGACGCUCAUGCACGAAAGCGUGGGGAGCAAACAGGAUUAGAUACCCUGGUAGUCCACGCCCUAAACGAUGUCAACUAGUUGUUGGGGAUUCAUUUCCUUAGUAACGUAGCUAACGCGUGAAGUUGACCGCCUGGGGAGUACGGUCGCAAGAUUAAAACUCAAAUGAAUUGACGGGGUCAUAGCUGUUUCCU